rnacentral:rRNA from 1 species
GGCGCAAGCCUGAUCCAGCAAUGCCGCGUGCAGGAUGAAGGCCUUCGGGUUGUAAACUGCUUUUGUACGGAACGAAAAGCCCUGGGUUAAUACCCUGGGGUCAUGACGGUACCGUAAGAAUAAGCACCGGCUAACUACGUGCCAGCAGCCGCGGUAAUAAUCUCUAGAGG